UUUUCUUUCUUUUUCUCAAUAGGAGAUACCAAAGAGGUUUCUGCAGAGACAUGGUAGUGACCUCGCUGGCUCAGUGUUUCUCAAGGUUCCAAGAAGUACAAUACUUUGGCCAGUGGAGAUGGAGUGGAGUGAUGGCAUGGCUCGGCUUGGCCUAGGCUGGCAGAAGUUCACAGACUAUUACUCCAUUGGUUUUGGCCAAUUACUAGUUUUCAGAUACGAACCAAGCUCCAUCUUUCAUGUUGUGAUCUUUGACACGAGCGCUUCAGAGAUUGAAUAUCCUACGGAUCCUGUGAUCAUGGACAAAUCAGAACCGGAAUGUGAAUUUAUUCUGCUCAAGAAGGAAGAAACUGAUAAUAUCUCAGCCAAAAUCUCAGAGGAUUGUCGGCCUAGCCCAAAAUUUAGGAAAAAAUCAAAGUCAGCAUUGGCUUCUAAGGUGAACUCUGGUAUGGGUAGUGAAAAUGAUGAUUAUUCCUAUGAACACCAAUUUCCCAAUAACAUUUGAGUCAGUUCAUUGACUCAUAUCCUUUCUGAUAUAUCAUCUAAUUUUGGAUUUUAAGAUGAAAUAUUUUUCUUUUUAUUAAUUAUGUACAGGCAUGAUCAGAAAUUCUGCAAGCAGAGCAAGCCCUGCUACACCGGUUGCUCGUACAUGUAAUGUGCCAUGUCCUGCUGCUCUUGAAAUGGCACGAGACUUCAAAUCGAACCAUCCCAUGUUCAUACUCGUGGUGUACCCUAGUUAUAUUAAAGGUUCCACUCCGGUGAGAUUCUUGGUGACCUAGUUUCAUCAUUGGCAUCUCCAUAACUCUGAGAUGGCAUAGUUUCCUUAGUUCACGAAAACCUUGGAGUGUAGAUGUUUUGGAUUAUUAUUUUUCCCCAUCCUCCUACUUAGAAUGUUUAUGCCUUGACAUGAUCAUGGAAACAGAUUACUUUGAGAAGGCUAAUAUCAAAUAUUGGUUUAUAAAACAUUUACGCAGAGUGUAUCAUCCAAAUUUAUGCGGACACAUAUCAAGAGAAGCGUGCAGGUCGUGACACUUAAGCACAACAAGGAUUCAUGGCCGGUGAAGUUAAUCAAGCCUCCGGGGGACCAUGGAAAGUUAUCUCAAGGUUGGUUUGCGUUUGCAAGAGCAACUUCUCUGUGUGAAGGGGACGUUUGUGUGUUCGAACUAACUAAGCUGAGUCCCACUGUGCUUGAAGUGUCAAUCUUCAAGAAUUCUGAUUACACUUAGGAGUGGUUUACUGCCACCAUUACGCUUGGCAUCAUUUUAGAGAAUGAUAUCCGUAGUGUUAUCAGCUAGACAUACAACGUUACCAAGUUUUUCUUUCUUGUUUUUAGUGUCUUUUUGAUGACAGAUGGAUCUGUAAAUUGAAAUGUCCCGAGAACUGAGCUUUAGCGAUGGUGAAUGAAAGUGGUUGUAAAAUUUUCUAGUUACUCUUAUCUUCUUUAGUUGUUUCUUGUUUUUCUCCUAAGUUUGAUCAUACCUAAAAUACAAAAAUACAAUAUAGUGCUUUAGGGAUACAACCCUCAUAUCAUAUAAAACCUUGUAUUGAAAAUUACAAACUUUUCUCAAACUUUUAUAUUUUGAUUGCAAACUUUUCUCCAUUCAUCACUUUACAAAUGCCUUGAUAUGACUAACGGACCUAUGACAUCAAUUAGUUAAGCAUAAUCUAUACUAAUCCUUUUCUCAUUUUCUAGUAACUGAAUUUGAAGGCCUUCAUCAGGGCAUACCGAAGAGGUUUUCUGCAAAAGCAUGGUAAUGACCUCUCGAGCUUAGUGUUUCUUAAGGUUCCAGAUGGUGAAAUCUGGCCAGUACGGUUAGAAUAGAGUGAUGGCAGGCUUUUGGUUGGGAAAGGAUGACAAAAGUUCGUAGAUUAUUACUCUGUUGUUCUUGGCCAAUUGAUGCUCUUCAGAUACGAACAGAACUCCACCUUCCAAGCUGUAAUUUUUUAUACGAGUUCAUCAGAGAUUGAAUAUCCCAGAAAUCCCAUUACGGGUGAAAAAUCAAAAGCUGAAUGCGAAUUCUACUGUCCAGGAAGGAAGAAACUGAUGAUAUCUCGGUUAAAAUCUUGGAAGAUUGUUGGCUAAGCCGAGUCAUGAGUGAAAAACCGAAAUGGGCUUCUAGGAAGGCGAGUUCUGCUCUGGUUGGUGAAGGUACUAACAAUUCCCAAGAACACAUAAUAUUUACGCGCUCUCGAUCAGGAGGCAGAGAGUUCUCACGUUCAAAGAAGAACAAACCUCUGAUUUGUUCUUUAAAAAACUGUAAAGGUAGUGACUGUAAUCAAGAAUUAUCAGUUUCAUUCACGUCAUUUUCUUCACUCGAGUUCUAUUUUUGCAACCUUCCGAAAUUCUACUUCUUGCCUUCUUUGUUCUUUGGUUCUACUACAAUGUCCUCAAGAAGAGAUUUUGUAAUUGAAAGGCGGAUGUGCUGAGCUCUUAUCGGUCAAUUCAUGUGCUCAUUCAUCUAUGAAUUGUGGUACUGGUAUACAGUCUGUAAUUUUAGGAUAUGAUGGAUGUUCACCUUUCACAUGACCCAGCGAGACCUGCCUUGGGGUCUCGCUACCCAGGCAAUUGGUGGCCUAGGUUCACACAACCCUUUGUCUCACUUAGGCUAGAUUCUCAUUCGCAUGUUGUCGAGCACUAGACAGACCUUAUAGAUGCCGCCUUUGCCAUUGCCACCUCUCACUCUCUCUCUCUCAUUUACUUGUUGUCGAGCACUAGACGGACCUUAUUGAUGCCACCUUUGCCGUUGCCACCUCUCUCUCCUGUAAGAUGGGUGACAGGCGAGCUUCGGCGCGGCGACAGGCAGUGGCGCGGCGGUCAGAGGUGCGGAGGCGCGGGCGUCGGGCGGAGGUGCUCGCGGCUGUGGAGUUGCAGGGGGCGGGCCAUCGGGAGUGGCUGCUGCUGCAGAGGCUGAGUGUUGAGCGGAGGUGCGGACGUCGGUCGCCGGGCGGAGGGGACAGGCGCCGGCGACGGGUGAGCAGAGGCGGGGGCGUCGGGCGCCAGGCAGCGGGAGGCAGGACGACUGGUGGGCGUACCAGCAGCGACGACGAGCAAGCAGGGGUGCGGGACUCGGGCGGCUUCGGGCGCUGCAGAUCACGGGCGAAGGUGCUGCUGGUGUUCGCGGCUCCGGGUUGCUGCAGGUCGCGGGUUGCAGAAGCAGCGGUGGUGCUCGGGCGCCAGAGUCGGCAACGGCGGUGCUCGCGGCUGUGGCUGGAGGCGGAGGUGCCGGGCGUGGGCGAAGCUCCGGCAGCAACGGGCAACUGCAGAAGAGCAGAAGGCGCUGGAGAAGAAGACCUUUUUCCUUCUUUUUUUUUUUCUUUUUUUUCUUUUCCUUCCCUCUCACGUCCGCUCUCUCUUUCUCUCUCUAUACUUUGCUGUGGACUUUGCCCUUUUUGCUGACAGAUUAUCAGAAGAAAAGGAAAUGACUUCCUUUCUUUUGACUUUUGAAUGGACGAGAGAAACCACUGGGGUUCGCCCCAGUGGCCACCCUUCCAUAGAGGUGAGGGGUUCAAAUCCCCACCUUCUCAGGGGGAUGGGGAUAGGGACGCGUAAGUUUGAGAGUGGGUUGCGACUCCCACGCCCUGCAAGAGGCAGGGCACAAGUCCGCAAGUGAGUGUAGAGUAGGAAUAGAGUAGCACUGACAAAAAAAAAAAAAUGGACGAGAGAAAGUUUUUUUUUGCUUUUCUCUUUUUUCUCUCUUCUGCACUUUCUCACACUUGCUCUCCUUUUUCACGAAUUUCGCCCCCCUCUUCUUCUACGAAAUUAUGCCCCCUUUUAUAUUGAUUCCAAAAACCCCGGUUCAUGGCAAUUUUCGAGCUUUUUUUUCUCUAGUCCUUAUAUCGUCGUCUAUAAAUCGAAGCGUGAUUUCGCAACUAGUUUGAUUUUUCCUCAAAUGCUUUGAUUAAUUUCCUUUGAUCAAAUUUCUUGUUUUUUAUUCACCUGAUUUCCUAACUCUUAAUUGCUGAUCGAGAAUUUAUUUCCACAUUUAUUAAGAUUUGAAUAUUUUCCAAAGCAAAAGUGGCUAAUCAGAGUUUCCAACUUCCAUUCAUAAUCAAUUAGAUUGAUUUUUCCUUAUUUUUCUUUUAUUUGCUUUGAUGACCAAAAAUUAUAUGCUAUGCAAUUUUUAUUUUAUUUAUUUAUAUUUAUUUAUUUUCUUUUUUUAUGGCUUAAAAAUUAAUCUCUAAUUUUUUAUAAAUAAUUGACUGGAUCGCCAAAAUUUAAGUGUCCACAAACCUAUAUAUUUAUGUUGGUAGGAGAUGUAUUAUGAAAAAGCGAGAAAUAGAAAUCUAUAUCAUCUUCUAUCAUGUAAGCGGAUUUUGUAGUAUGCUUUUUAGCUGCUACUUAAGUUAUUUGGCUUCAUAACCUCAUUAGAAAGUUAACCGUCUUUGAUUUUGUGAGUAGGCCCAUACAAUUGUGUUGUGACAUAACUCUACAGUAUUGUUUAUUAACAACAAUAGAGGUCUCAAUGUAUAAGUACAUGGCAAUCAAGUUUUUGACCACAAAUGAGUUGGUACAAAAUAAUGAUAUUACAAUAGAUCAUGUUCUUAUAGAUGAUAUGGUUGCAGAUUUGCUAACUAAAUGCUUACGGCCUUGUGUGUUUAAGCGACAUGUUAUUAAUAUGGACUUAGGGGCAUCAUGUGAUGCCGUUAUUUAGUAGGAAUUGAUUUCAUUUUUUCCUCUAAUAAAGUUUAUAUCUGUGUUUGUCAUAUUUAAUGACAUUUUGAUAUGUAUCAACUUUUGCAAUCAAUAAAGUAUUUAUGAAUAUAUUGUUAUUAUGUUAAAUACAUAUUGAUAAAAAUCUUAAUGUAUUGUAUAAAUCUUGAGUGAAGGCUAAUGGUAUCCAUUUAUUAGUUUUGAGCAUAUAUCCUGUUAUACAUAAAAAAAAAAAAAAUGUCAAUCAUAAGGAUAAGACAUACGUUGGUUCAUUAGAAUCAUAAAGACAUUCUCUAGUGGCAUAGGUUUUUGUGACGUUUAAGGUAAGAAAAUGAUGAUUGACAAAUGAGAUGACACAUAAUGUAUUACUUUCUAUGAGAUGCUAUCCAUUUACUAUACUACCAUAUUAAAUUCAUAUUAAUAAAAUUAAAAACACUUGUGACCAUAAAAAGCUCUAUGUGUAUACAUGCAAUUACCGCUAUGAUUCGGUAUUUGAGACUUUAUAUGAUAUGAUUGACUAUUAAGAAUUAUUUAUAGACUAAAGUGCACAUAUACAAUACACUUUCAAUUAAUAUAACCCAAGUGGGAGAAUAUAAUUUUUUUUCCUAAUAUAGACUACAUUAGUUGAUAUUGUAAUUCUAUUUUACGGGGUUGGUUUAAGGUGAGAUAGGAUAUUUCGUAAUUAGUCUAAUAUAGGAUUGGCUAGUGUGAGCCGAGUUGAGUCCGGCCUGUAAUGAGAGAUCCUAACUAGAAACUUUAUAAAUAGUGUUCAAGUUUCUCCUCUAACCCUACCUCUCACAAUUAUCCUUACAAAAUGAGCAUUUACUUAGCAUUAAAGGGUAAAUGGGCCAUCUCAUUGAGCCAAUAAUACAGAGGGUAAUAGAGAAGAAUGAUUUGCACUUGAAUCGUCACUUUGCUGCUUCUGCACUAAGAGCAAUGAAUUCCAAAAUAUGUGCUUUAACAUUUCUACUCGAUUAUAUAUGUUCUUCUUCUAGCUAUGGAGAUUGUGGGAUUGCGUUUUUCGCAAUUGACAUCUCUCUCUCUCUCUCUCUCUCUCUCUCUCUCUCUCUCUCUCUCUCUCUCUCGGUUUGAAGUGUUUUCUCAAUUUUUUAACGUUCCAAUCCAAUAAGUGCAAAUGAUCUAAUUGGCAGUGAUGGAGCGUUAAUGUGAUGGUCCAUUUCAAUAUUUUCAUUUGUAAUUUGAGAAGUGUAUUAAAAGUCCUAAAACUUAUUAUAAAAAUGUAAUUGAGUCCUAAAACUUAAAAAAAUGUAAUUAAAUUCUAAAACUUCUCACGAAAGUAUAGUUGCGUCCUAAAACUUUUAAAAAGUGCAAAUCCAUGAAUAUCCCAUAAAAAAAAACCUUUUUAUUUUUAAUUAAUUCAAAUUCUAAAAUUUAUUAAGUUAGUGUAAUCAAGUGUAAUCAAGUCCUUCUAUUAACUCCAUCCAACUUGACAAAUGAAAAAUGCUAACAAAUUUUUGGACUUGAUUGUACCAACUUGACAAAUUUAAUGACUUAAUUAAACUUUUUGACAAUUUUAUGACUCAAUUACACUUAGUGAUAAGUUUUAUGAUUUAAUUGCAUUAUUGAAAAUUUCAAAACUUAAUUACAUUUUGUGACAAGUUUUAGGAUUUUCAAUACAUUAAUUCCUUGCAAUUUUAUAGAAGGACUAACUCGAGCCAUAAAACAUAUAAUUUGGGAACUGCAUUAGCAUAAAUAUAUAUAUGAAGAACCAACUAAAAAAGUUGAAAAGGUAAAUGGUUUAGUGGCGUCUUUAUUCCUAAAAUAUGGAAUUUCAUGUUUUUUUUUUUUUAAGGUUUGAGUUUGAAAUUGCCGUUGAAUGCUAAUUUGGGAUCCCACAUGGCAUUUCAAAAUUUUAAAAUAUAAAAAAAUGUAUAUUAAAGGGACAAAAAGAAUAAAAUAAGAAACAAAAUGAAAAAGCAAUAAAGGUCUUGUCGACACCACUUAUCGGAGGUCCCACCUUGCUGGUUUCAUCCCCCAAUUGCUAGUGAUACAACACCAGGAUUGCAUGACCUCAAUCGCUGGCCAGGAUCACACGCCCCCGACAAGAUCUAGCUUGGGUUCUCACUACCCCAACAAGUGGUGGCCUAGGGUCACACAACUCUUUGUCUUGCCCGGGCCACUUUCUUAUUUCCCCCUUAUCUCUCUAUUCCCCUCCAUAUAGUGGAGAAAACGGCAAUCAUGUUGUAAUCACAACAUGUGAGUGAGCACUAGGCAAACCUUAUGGGAGCCACCUGCCUCACCACCCCCCUCCCUCCCUCUCUCUCUCUCUCUCUCUCUCUCUCUCUCUCUCUCUCUCUCUCUCUCUCUCAGCAUCUUCUUUUCUAAGUGCAAAUGAUUCAAUCGGGUAACUAGUGAUCGUAUGUGUCAGCAAUUUCAUAUGCAAUUUUUAUAAUUCGACUAACAUGAGUUUAAAAAAAAACCAUAUUGAUUAGAGAUUGUUGGAGAAAACUUAUUUAUUUGUUUUGAAGUUGACAAAACGUUUCCAUCAGUCUAGUCUGAAAACUUGCAGACUCUUUCGUCAAAGUCUGAAGACCAUCAGACUCAAGAUUUAAAGUCUGCCCUCAUUGACAAUAUUUAGAUCGACGAAAAAGACUUAUCCAUAAUUGAGUAUUUCUUUAAGGAUUUGAUUCGAGCGGCUAAAGAAGUUCUCAUGGCUGGAGAUAGCAUUUCAAGAUCUAUUAUUCAUUUUGAAAUCAAUACAAGUAAAUUGGAUCCAUUGAUUGACAAAGUUUACUUGGAAGGUUCUACUUAUGGAAACCUAGAUCUUGAUUGUAUGGGCGAGUAGGAUUGGUGGGCUAUCUUCACGUUCCUUAAGUAACUCAAGAUCUUCCUAAUUGAUUCUAUCCAACAGGUAGAUUGGAAGAACUCCUUUGGAAUGUGCCAACGGUUAUGAAUGCAUGAAGGAGUAUACAAGGAAGACGCUUUAGUUAUUCAAGUGUGUGCGUGAUAGAAAAAUUUCAAAGUCUGAAGCUCUUUGUUCUUUGCUGAUUCAAUUGCUGAGCGUAAAUUUGUACUCAAAAGAGAGUUUUGAUACUUGUGAGACCUUGAGAAAGUAUAGCAGAGUCUUUACACUAUGGAAUUAAGGACGUAAUACUGUAACGACUCUUUUGAUUCAUAGUGAAAUCCAGCCGGUGGGCUGUCAAUGCGGGAGAGUGGACGUAGGUUUGGAUUAAGCCAAACCACUAUAAAUCUUGUGUUUUUAUUCUCUUCCCUAAACUAUUUAAUUUUGCUCGCAACUCUAUUUAAUUGUUAGAGUCUAAUUUUUUCUAUCAACCACAUUCAGGUUAAAAGUAAAGUUUUAUACUAUAUUAUGCAAAAGUUGUUUGUGUACCUAUUCACCUCCCUCUAGGUGUUCGUACUAGCUCUCUUAAUUAGUAUCAAAGCCUAUGUACUCAUUUAAAUUGAAGUGUUUUUACUUCAGAGUCAAAAAUUCAUGGCUAGUAUGUUGACUCUAGGUUUGGUUGAAGGGCAAAGCAACACCAGACCGCCUUAUUUUGAUGGAAAGGAAUACAGUAUAUGGAAAAACAAGAUGAAAGUAUUCCUAAGAUCAAAAGGUCAUAUGGAAUGGGAUGUGGUAGACAAAGAAAUCAUUCCUAAAGCUACAAUAGUCUCAGAAAGGGGAAAAGAAGCUGUUGAGGCUAGCGAGAUGACUCAAGAAGAGAUAACUAAGAGACAAGCUCUUGAUGCAAAAUCAAUUUAUUCAUUAUAUUGUGCAUUAUCUCCUACUGAAUAUAACAGAAUAUCUUUUUGUGAAACAGCUAAAAAAGUUUGGGAUAGGCUGCACAUUACGUAUGAAUGGACUGAUCGAGUGAAAGAAACCAGAAUCAAUAUUCUGCUCGGUCAAUAUGAAGCCUUCAAAAUGAAGCCAGGAGAAUCUAUCAUUGAUAUGUUUAGUUGUUUUACAGAAAUUGUGAAUGGUAUUGAGUAUCAAGGUCAACCAAUUUCAGGACUCAUGAAGGUUAACAAAUUGUUACGUGGACUUUCCAAAGAUUGGAAUCACGUAAAGACAUCAAUAAGGGAGACACAAAGGAUCAUGCCACUCUUCAUUGACGAAUUGGUAGGCACUCUUCAGUCUUAUGAAGUGGAGCAAAUCGAUGAAGAUCCCAAAGGUAAAAAAUCUAUUGCUUUAAAAUCUAAUGAUGAUUCUGAUGUUACAAAUUCUGAAAAUGAUAUGGACGAUAAAGAGCUUGCUCUUAUGAUAAGAAGGUUCAGAAAAUUGAACAAAAAGGGAAGAAUAUUCAAUUGGAAGAAACAAAGCUUUCAAAAGUUUCAAAAUAAAUUAGCCGAGGACGAUGAAUCCAAUAAAGAUGUGAUUUGUUUUGAAUGCAAGAAAAAAGGGACACAUCAGACACAACUGUCCCUUGUUGAAGAAAAAGAAAGGAAAAUGUGAGAAAUACAAAAAGGCACUUAAAGUAGAGACUUGGAGUGAUAUCGAAUGCGAAGAAAAUAAUGAUAAUUAUGCUAAUAUUUGUUUAAUGGCAAAAUCAGAAUCAGAUUCAGACUCUAAGACAUAUGCAAACUCAGACUCAGACAGUGAAAUAGAGGGAAGUAAUUUAAAAAUUCCUACUAAAGUCUCUAAAUACAUUGAUGAACUGUCUCUUAGUUUCAAAACCUCUCUUAGAGCUAAAAAGGGAAAAUUCUACACUGAAACAACAAGAGAAUGUUUGGAAAGAAAAGUUAGAAAAUCUAGAUAAAAGUUUUAUUACUUUGAAAGAAAAUGCAGACUCUCUUUUAAAAGAAAAUACACUUUUGAAAAAUGAUAUUUCAAGUAUCUCAAAAAGGUUUUCUAUAGGAUUUGAGAAAUUGGAAAAGAUUAUUUCAGCACGAAGACCUUACUUUAACAAAUCAAACUUGGGAAUGACUUAUGAAAUCAUUCCUCUAAUUGAUUUUCCAAAAGUAAAGAAAAGAAUCAAACAAAGACCUACAAAGGGCUUCUAUAGAAAUCAUUUUCAAAAAGUCUUUGUAAAACCUGUUAACCGUAGUGCUUUUAAAUGUUCUAAAUACAACAGCUCAGAACACUUUGAGAAAGAAUGUCAUAUGGUUUGGAAACCUGUUAAGAAGGAUUGGGAGAAGACCCUAUAUUGCACUAACUCCAUUGGACCUAAGAAAGUGUGGGUACCAAAGAAAGCUUGAGUUUCUUUUUUAAAUGCAGGUCAUUAUCAAGAAAAAGGUCAAAUGGUACUUAGACAGUGGAUGCUCAAGACAUAUGAUAUAAGAUUCAAGUUGUUUCAUAAAACUUAUGCAAGUUAAUGGUGGAAAAGUUUCCUUUGGUGGAAAUAGCAAAUGAAGAAUUGUCGGAUGCAGAACAGUAAAGAUUGGAAGUCUCAUAAUCAACAACAUCUCUUUAGUAGAAUGACUUAAUUACAACUUAUUGAGUAUCAAUCAACUGUGCGACACAGGGUUCAAAAUCAAUUUUCAAGAAGGAAUAUGUUCGGGAACCAGUAAAGACUUCUCUCAGACCUUCACUGUACAAAGACAUGGGAACAUCUAUUUUUUGGAUAUCAAACCAGAAAAAUCUCAAUGUCUAAUUUCAAUUCAAGAUGAAGCUAAUAUAUGGCAUCGAAAACUUGGCCAUAUCAACAUGAAGCAAAUUGCCAAGAUCUCUUCAAAGAAGCUUGUUCGUGGACUACCCAACCUGACAUACCAAAAAUUUGAAUUAUGCACACCAUGUGUGCUGGGAAAACAUGUUAGAAGUUCUUUCAAACCAAUAAAUCAAGUUUCCACUAAUCGUGUGCUACAAUUCCUACAUAUAGAUCUCUUUGGACCAACUAGAACUUAGAGCAUUGCUGGAAAGAAAUAUUGCUUAGUAAUAGCGGAUGAUUAUUCACGAUUUACUUGGGUAUACUUCCCGGCAAGUAAGUCUGAAACUUUUUUUUAUUUUAUAAAUUUUGCUAAGAAAGUACAGAAUGAGAAAUGAUAUGUUAUUUCGAGUAUACGAACAGACCAUGAAGGUGAGUUUGAAAAUCAAGACUUUGCCAAAUUCUGUAAUGAAUCUGGUUUUCAGCAUAUGUUCUCCUCUCUAUACACUUUAGAACAGAAUGGAGUUGUGGAAAUGAAGAAUAGAUUGUUGCAAGAAAUGACUAGAACACUUUUAAUUGAAAGCAACAUUUCUUCACGUUUUUGGGCUAAAGCAAUUUCUACAGCAUGCUAUAUCAUUAACAGAGUUUUCUUAAGGCCAAUUCUGGAGAAAACUCCCUAUGAGUUGUUCAAAGGAAAGAAGUCAAUUGUUUCCUAUUUUCAUAUGUUUGGUUGCAAUUGUUUUAUAUUGAAAAAUGCAAAUGAUCGAAUUGGUAAAUUUGAAGAAAAGUCAGACGAAAGAAUUUUCCUUGGAUAUUCAACCACCAACAAAGCUUACAGAGUAUACAACAAAAAGACUCAAUCUGUGGAAUGAUCGAUAAAUGUCAAAUUUCAAGACUUUAUACAAAAUCAAUCGAUCCAGACUCAACCUGAAGAAUCUGAACCUCCUCCAGACUCUACAAAGUCAAAUUCUUCAGAAGCAGCUUAGACUUCAGAAUGUCAACAAUGAAUGAACGUUGAAGAAUCAAAUGAAGAAAAAGAUCAGCAGUUUGUCAGACCAACCAGCAACUAGAAGCACAAGUCCAGUCAUCCCAAAGAACUCAUUAUUGGAGACAUUGAUGAAGGGAUUCGUAUAAGAUCCAAAAGGCAUGAAGAGUCUAGCACAGUGGCUCUUAAUUUUGAAUUAGAACCCAAAAGCAUAGAAGAAGCUUUAACUGAUGAAAGCUAGAUUGAAGCUAUGUAAGAAGAACUCAGGCAGUUCAGUAUUAACGAUGUCUGGGAAUUGACUCCUAAACCAAAAGGUAAAUCUGUUAUUAGAGCUAAAUGGGUUUUCAGAAACAAGAUGGACGAGAAAAGAAAAGUUAUAAGGAACAAAGCAAGACUCGUAGUCAAAUGAUAUACGCAAGAAGAAGGGAUAGACCAUGAUGAGACUUACGCUCCAGUAGCAAUGUUAGAAGCAAUUAGAUUAUUACUUGCUUUUGCUUAUUAUAAUAAUUUCAAGUUAUUCCAAAUGAACGUCAAAAGUGCAUUCCUGAAUGGAUUUAUAUGUAGAACAACCUCCCAGUUUCGAAGAUCCAAGGAAACCAGACUCUGUAUUCAGAUUGAAAAAUGCGCUAUAUGAUUUAAAGCAAGCACCUCAAGCUUGGUACGAAAAGUUAAGUAAGUUUAUAAUCCAAAAUGGCUUUAUUAAAGGUAAAGUAGACACUACUUUGUUUAUCAAAAGAGAAAAUAAAAACUUUCUACUUGUUUAAAUCUAUGUUGAUGAUAUUAUUUUUAGAUCACCUAACAAGAAUCUGUGCAAGAAAUUCUCUAAGUCUAUGUAGAAUGAAUUCGAAAUGAGCAUGAUGGGUGAACUAUCCUUCUUUCUCGGACUACAAGUAAAACAAUUGAAGGAAGGGACUUUCAUUCACCAAGAUUUUGAUACUUGUGAGACCUUGAGAAAGUGUAGCAGAGUCUCUACACUGUGGAAUCAAGGACGUAAUACUGCAACAACUCUUUUAAUUCAUAGUGAAAUCCAACCGGUGAGUUGUCAAUGUGGGAGAGUGGACGUAGGCCUGGAUUAAGCCAAACCACUAUAAACCUUGUGUUUUUAUUCUCUUCCCUAAACUCUUUAAUUUUGCUCGCAACUCUAUUUAAUUGUUAGAGUCUAAUUUUCUCUAUCAACCACACUCAGGUUAAAAGUAAAGUUUUAUACUAUAUUCUGUAAAAGUUGUUUGUGCACCUAUUCGCCCUCUGUAGGUGCUCGUACUAGCUCUCUCAGAGACCACCUUAGAUACACACACACACACACACACACACACACACACACACACACACACACAUAUAUAUAUAUAUAUAUAUAUAUAUAUGUAUGUAUGUAUGUAUGUAUGUAUAUCGAAAUUGAACAAAUUGAAAAAGUAUAUGCUUGAGUGGUAUCUUUAUCCCUAAAAUAUAGAAUUUGAUAGAGGAUCAAGGUUAAAUAUCUUCAAUUGGAAUAAUCGGUUUGCAUUCUAUAUAGUCAAGUAGAGGUUAUGAAUGAAAUGAGACUUUCAGACUAUAAUCAUUAUAGAAAAAGUCUUUGUAGCUAGUAUUUAAUGUAGAUUAUAUUUGUGUUGACACCCAAAAGUAACUCAAGACCUAACAGGAGGCAUGUCAUUAAGUUGUGGAUUGGAUAGUCAGGUGUUGUGAUUGUAGAUCAAUGAGUAGCCCAUGCAAGAUCAACGUCACAUGACUUAUAAUGCCACUAAUGAAGAGUAAUGACUAAAGCAGUUAUCGACAUAUGAUAAUAGGCAAUCAACCACCCAAAGGAGGAAGUCGAAUGGAGAGAAAUCCCCAAGAUUUUAACUACUAUUGAAUAAAAAAGUGCAUCUAGAGAUCGUGAGAGCAAAGCCUAGAAUCUUGAGAGUAGUUGGGUUUGAGAUUUGAAAUUUAACUGCAUGUAUAUAAAACACAUUAUAACACGCAUUUAAGUAAUGUGGAAUUAUACUCCAACCAUAUUAAGUUGUGGUCAUAGAUCUAUGCAUGAAGGACGAGGGUGUAAUUAUAUUGCCUGCCAUGCUCUAAUGAUGUACCUUGAUUUUUGGUUUUUCUUGUUUGUUUUGGAGCUUUACGACUUGCCUUUUUAUGGUGAAUUUAAGGAUUUCAUAUGGAUCUUUUCAUGUAUCAUUUUGGUAAUAAAUAGAAAUUUCUUUAACAUAAGAAAAAAAAGUAAUGGUAGAGUUUCUAGUUACUCUUAUCUCUUUAGUUGUACAAUGCUUGUCUUCUCUUUAAGCUGCUUGGAAUAGAGUAUGGAGGGGAAAAGUGUUAAAAAAAUCAUAAAUUUAUUGUGUUUGUGCCAAUUUAGUCCUAAACAUUUUUUUGGUGCCAAUUUAGUUCUAAACAUUUUUACUUAAUGCCGAUUCAGUCAUUUCAGGUCAAUUUUGGUUGGAUUUUGCUGACUAGAUGCCGGCCGGUUGAUAUGGUCUGAUCGGUGCUAACGUGUACAAUUUUUAAUAAUAUUUUAAUAUUUUAGAAUUUUUAUUUUAUUUAUUUUAUUUUUAUUUUUUCCUUCCCCUCCUCCAACUGGUUGCGGGACCUCGCUGGCCACCUCACCAUUGGUUGCGAGGGUGGCCAUGCGUUGGGCAGCGAGGCUCGCUCUCGUUGGAUCUGGCGGGCGAGGGCGAGGGCGAGCCUCGCCAACGCCCCCCAAGCUGCGAGGGCGAUCUAGCACUGGGCUGGCGAGGCUUGACCCUUGUCGAAUCGCGGCCUGGGCGACGCUGGCGAGGCUCGACCCUUGCUAGAUCUAGCGAGGGCGAGCCUUGCCGCCCAGUGUGAGGCCUCCCUUGCGACCACUAGCGAGGUGGCCAGCGAUGUUCGGUGAGGUCGACCUUGCCGGCCGUUGCCUGUGGCCGGUCGCUAAGGUCCGACGACCGGCUGGAGAAAGGGAAGGAAAAAUAAAAAAUAAAAAAAUAAACAACUUUUAAAAAUAUUAAAAUAUUAUUAAAAAUUGUCCACGUCAGUACCGAUCAGGUCGCGUCAGCUGGCUGGCGUCCAGUUAGCAAAAUUUAGUCAAAAUUAGCCGAAAAUAACUGAAUUGGCAUUAAGUAAAAACGUUUAGGACUAAAUUGGCGCAAAAAAAAAGAUUUGUGACUAAAUUGACACAAAUACAAAAAGUUUAUGACUUUUUAAACACUUUUCCCGAGUAUGGGGUAUAGGUACUUUGGGAAUACAACGCUCCUACCAUGUUAAGAUUGUGCAUUGAAAACUAUAUAAAAAUUUCGAUUAAUCUCUCAACGGACGACUAGGAUGAAUCUUCAAUGGGAAUUUAUUUCCUCUCUAUUUUUAAUAGGACUCUUGAGAUCAACAUGCACUAUCCUUGUAUCAAUGGCAAGUCUCCACAAUCUCAGAGAGGAUCUUCACUCCUGCCACGAGUCCGAAGGAACGUUUGGGGAUGUAUUCGAAUUCAGCAUUAUAAGCACGAGAUGGAAGCAACAUCGCCAUCCCUCUGGGGCAUCGAAAAUUUUCUCAAGGCCCACUUGCUCGAGCAAAACUAAACCUAGGAAUGGCUUCCACCCGUCUCUCAUUUGUAGACUAUUCUUCCUCUCACCGAGAGCCCAAUGCAAACAUUCACUGUUUGAAUGAAUGAACAUGACUCUCUAGUACAAAUUUGAGGUGAUUGGCUAAAGGGUGAGUGAUUUUUACAAGGAAACUAGAAACUACCUUCUUAAAACCGCUUUCCAAUCUUUGGAAUCCAAAUUUUAGAACCUGAAAUUUAUUCUGUUUGUCUUGAAACCAAUCCUAAAACCUAUUCUGGUUUGCCAGCUAAUUUUCUUUUAUACCUUUUGUUGGUUCCAUAUUUUACAGCGAAAUAAUAUGGACAACAAAAAAUUUCCAAGUAAAAGAUGAACGGGGCAAGCGAGCGAAGGUGAAUCUAAACGAAUGAGGGUUAUGAGGCUCGAAUGAGUGAUGGCCAGCGACCAACGUUGAGGGUGAGUUGCAAGCGAAAGAGAGGGAGAGAAGUGAAGUAUGAGUGAGGUUGGAGAGAAAUGGAGAAAAAGAUAAAUAGAAAAAAAGAAAAAAAAAAGCCAAGAGAAAUUAGGCUUUAUAAGCUUUAUGUAAUUGAUUUCAAAUUCAAUUCGGUAUCCAGAUGCUUCUUUACUCAUAAUCGGGAAUCGGACCACUCGGGAAUAGGAUUGAUUUUCGAGCAAUUUGAUAUAGGUCUCGAGCAGAUCCGAUCCAAUUGCAUAGCCCUGUACGAACUGUUUUAAUGCGGUGUACAAACUGCUUUAAAGCAGCAGUUUGGUUGCUCUGACCGAUUAAAGAGCUAAUAAUAGAGGGGAGGACAGGACUCCUGACGCAGGUGAGACAAAGGCGAAUACAGGACCUUGAAAGGAGGUUCUUUCAAGACGAUGGCUUCGCGUCGUCCGAAGGGUUUUGAACCGCCCAAGUCUCCUCAUUUUUUCAAGAUCAUACUCUCCUCCGGGAAGCUUGUCAGCAUGCCCUCUCUCUCUCCCCUACUGAUUCUUGAUUUUCGUUUUUAUUCUUCUUUGCCCGCUAGUUGUUCGAUUUAUUUCUUGACUGGGAAAGGUACUACUUUCUGGCUAAUUGUGUGACUGAGUUGACAGUUGUAUGUGACCAAGCGAGCAAAAUAUAUUCACACAAGGUGUUUUUCUUUGGGUCGAAAUGCAAGGUGUUUCACUUGCAGGAAAAUUGUUCUGUUCUUCAGUGUCUAGUCUCUGAACUAGUCCUUGGAUCGAAGCCCGCAUGACUUUGACCCAUUAGAAUGUGUUCCUGGAUUUGUUUUCCUUUUUCCUAAUUAUCUUGAAUAUUGCUCAGGAAAUGACAUUAAUUUACCAGAACCAGUGUUCAAUUGAGAAGAAUUUUCUUCUGAAGGAGAAUAGAAUUCAUGCUAUUCCUUGCUUAUAUGCAAAUCAUAUAGUGAAGCUUCUUCUAUGUGGUUGUGAAUUUGAGCAAAAAUAUAGGACUGGAAUAUGGAGGUAUCUCAGUAUUUCUUUCUAAUUCCUUUCCUAGAAUAAUACUGGUAUGCAAGCCUUUUGCGCGACUUAUUCCCCGGAUGCAGGCAAUCCGAGUUACUCUAAUUGGGUGAUGUAGGUACUUCUUAUCACAAUCUAAUUCCCUUGAGUUACGCUGAGAAUUACUGAACCGGUAAUUGUAUUUGUAUGUCUGAUACGAAAAGUUGCUAAUGGAGUUGUAGAUAUUUUUGCGGGGAGCCCGAAAAGAAGUUUUAAAACUUACUUGUUCACUACCUGAAUCCCAAAAUUUCUGGUGAGAAUGUUGACUAAUUUGUGGUUCACUAUACUAUGGACUCACUUGAUCGCAAUUCCUUAUUGUUGAAGUAUGUGCACGUGCUUUCGCUAUGCUAUGGAGUCUCCACGCUUUGGACAAGAACCUUAAGAUCUUAAAUUUAAGUGAAAAAAAUGAUUUAAUUAUAUAUUGAAUCUGCUUUUCUUUCUUUUUCUCAAUAGGAGAUACCAAAGAGGUUUCUGCAGAGACAUGGUAAUGACAUCCCUGGCUCAGUGUUUCUCAAGGUUCCAAGCAGUACAAUACUUUGGCCAGUGGAGAUGGAGUGGAGUGAUGGCAUGGCUCGCCUUGGCCAAGGCUGGCAGAAGUUCACAGACUAUUACUCCAUUGGUUUUGGCCAAUUACUAGUUU
rnacentral:lncRNA from 1 species